UACGUAGGGGGCUAGCGUUGUCCGGAAUCAUUGGGCGUAAAGCGCGUGUAGGCGGUCCGGUAAGUCCGCUGUGAAAGUCGGGGGCUCAACCCUGGAAUGCCGGUGGAUACUGUCGGGCUCGAGUCCGGAAGAGGCGAGUGGAAUUCCUGGUGUAGCGGUGAAAUGCGCAGAUAUCAGGAGGAACACCGAUGGCGAAGGCAGCUCGCUGGGACGGUACUGACGCUGAGACGCGAAAGCGUGGGGAGCAAACAGG
rnacentral:rRNA from 1 species